GCAGUAAUGUAUGUAGCUAACCAGUACUAAUUGCCCGUGAGGCUUGAUCCUAUAACCCAAAACGGUCUACU
rnacentral:rRNA from 1 species